rnacentral:rRNA from 1 species
GACGAACUCUGGCGGCGUGCUUAACACAUGCAAGUCGAACGGAAAGGCCUCUUUCGGGGGGUACUCGAGUGGCGAACGGGUGAGUAACACGUGAGUAACCUGCCCUUGACUUUGGGAUAACUUCAGGAAACUGGGGCUAAUACCGGAUAGGAGCUCCUGCUGCAUGGUGGGGGUUGGAAAGUUUCGGCGGUUGGGGAUGGACUCGCGGCUUAUCAGCUUGUUGGUGGGGUAGUGGCUUACCAAGGCUUUGACGGGUAGCCGGCCUGAGAGGGUGACCGGCCACAUUGGGACUGAGAUACGGCCCAGACUCCUACGGGAGGCAGCAGUGGGGAAUAUUGCACAAUGGGUGGAAGCCUGAUGCAGCAACGCCGUGUGCGGGAUGACGGCCUUCGGGUUGUAAACCGCUUUCGCUCAUGACGAAGCUUUGUGUGACGGUAGUGGGUAAAGAAGCACCGGCUAACUACGG